rnacentral:rRNA from 1 species
AACGAACGCUGGCGGCGUGCCUAACACAUGCAAGUCGAGCGCGAAUAGGGGCAACCCUUAGUAGAGCGGCGAACGGGUGCGUAACACGUGGGUAAUCUGCCCUGGAGUCCGGGACAACCUGCCGAAAGGUUGGCUAAUACCGGAUAAGACCACGGGGACUUCGGUCCCUGAGGGAAAAGGUGGCCUCUGUAUACAAGCUAUCUCUUCAGGAUGAGCCCGCGGCCCAUCAGCUAGUUGGUGAGGUAAUGGCUCACCAAGGCAACGACGUGUAGCUGGUCUUGAGAGGACGAUCAGCCACACUGGAACUGAGACACGGUCCAGACUCCUACGGGAGGCAGCAGUGCGGAAUUUUGCACAAUGGGCGAAAGCCUGAUGCAACAACGCCGCGUGUGUGAUGAAGGUCUUCGGAUUGUAAAGCACUUUCGACCGGGACGAAACCCGGAUGGCCAAUAUCCAUCCGUCUGACGGUACCGGGAGAAGAAGCACCGGCUAACUCUGUGCCAGCAGCCGCGGUAAUACAGAGGGUGCAAGCGUUGUUCGGAAUUAUUGGGCGUAAAGCGCGUGUAGGCGGCAUGGCAAGUCGGGUGUGAAAGCCCUCAGCUUAACUGAGGAAGUGCGCCCGAAACUGCUGUGCUUGAGUGCUGGAGAGGGUCGCGGAAUUCCCCAAGUAGAGGUGAAAUUCGUAGAUAUGGGGAGGAACACCGGUGGCGAAGGCGGCGACCUGGACAGUAACUGACGCUGAGACGCGAAAGCGUGGGGAGCAAACAGGAUUAGAUACCCUGGUAGUACACGCCGUAAACGAUGAGAACUAGGUGUCGUGGGUGUUGACCUUCGCGGUGCCGCAGCUAACGCAUUAAGUUCUCCGCCUGGGAAGUACGGCCGCAAGGCUA